UACUGCUCAGUAACACGUGGAUAACCUGCCCUUGGGUCCGGCAUAACCCCGGGAAACUGGGGAUAAUUCCGGAUAACGCACAUAUGCUGGAAUGCUUUAUGCGUCAAAUGGAUUCGUCUGCCCAAGGAUGGGUCUGCGGCCUAUCAGGUAGUAGUGGGUGUAAUGUACCUACUAGCCGACGACGGGUACGGGUUGUGAGAGCAAGAGCCCGGAGAUGGAUUCUGAGACAUGAAUCCAGGCCCUACGGGGCGCAGCAGGCGCGAAAACUUUACAAUGCGGGAAACCGUGAUAAGGGGACACCGAGUGCCAGCGUCAUACGCUGGCUGUCCAGGUGUGUAAAAUACACCUGUUAGCAAGGGCCGGGCAAGACCGGUGCCAGCCGCCGCGGUAACACCGGCGGCCCGAGUGGUGAUCGUGAUUAUUGGGUCUAAAGGGUCCGUAGCCGGUUUGGUCAGUCCUCCGGGAAAUCUGAUAGCUCAACUGUUAGGCUUUCGGGGGAUACUGCCAGACUUGGAACCGGGAGAGGUAAGAGGUACUACAGGGGUAGGAGUGAAAUCUUGUAAUCCCUGUGGGACCACCUGUGGCGAAGGCGUCUUACCAGAACGGGUUCGACGGUGAGGGACGAAAGCUGGGGGCACGAACCGGAUUAGAUACCCGGGUAGUCCCAGCCGUAAACGAUGCUCGCUAGGUGUCAGGCAUGGCGCGACCGUGUCUGGUGCCGCAGGGAAGCCGUGAAGCGAGCCACCUGGGAAGUACGGCCGCAAGGCUGAAACUUAAAGGAAUUGGCGGGGGAGCACA
rnacentral:rRNA from 1 species